rnacentral:lncRNA from 1 species
GUAACAUGAAUAUUUGGAUAUACCAUAAACAAUAAAAUAAGCUUUCUAGCAACUUGAACAUAAAGGGUGGAAAGAACUCUAGUUUUGCUAGAUUGGUCUUGACCCUCCAUAAGGACUUAUCCCUUGGUAAAAGCUGGGACAACUCGUACAACCAUGAGGGCUAUAUGGCUCUGGCUUUAGCUCAGUAUGAGGACCUUUUUCUAGCUUGUUAGCGGUUACCUUAAAUGGCGUAAGAAUGGCUAGACACGUUGGGUAUUAGCCUCUAUCCGUGUGUAUAGGCUGCGUGUUAUGCGAAGGGGGCUCUAUAUCUGCCUG